rnacentral:rRNA from 1 species
UACGUAGGGUGCGAGCGUUAAUCGGAAUUACUGGGCGUAAAGGGUGCGCAGGCGGUUAUAUAAGACAGAUGUGAAAUCCCCGGGCUCAACCUGGGAACUGCGUUUGUGACUGUAUGACUAGAGUACGGUAGAGAGGGGUGGAAUUCCUGGUGUAGCAGUGAAAUGCAUAGAUAUCAGGAGGAACAUCGAUGGCGAAGGCAGCCCCUUGGACCUGUACUGACGCUCAUGCACGAAAGCGUGGGGAGCAAACAGG